GACGAACGCUGGCGGCGUGCUUAACACAUGCAAGUCGAACGGAAAGGCCCUGCUUUUGUGGGGUGCUCGAGUUGCGAACUGGUGAGUAACACUUGAGUAACCUGCCCUUGACUUUGGGAUAACUUCAUGAAACUUGGGCUCAUACCGGAUAGGAGCUCCUGCUUCUUGGUGGGGGUUGGAUAGUUUCGGUGGUUGGGGAUGGACUCGCGUCUUAUCAGCUUGUUGGUGGGGUAGUGGCUUACCAAGGCUUUGACGGGUAGCCGGCCUGCGAGGGUGACCGGCCACAUUGGGACGGAGAUAAGGCCCAGACUAGAACGGGAGGCAGCAGGGGAGAAGAGUGCACAAGGGGAGGAAGCAUGAUGCAACAAAGCCGCGUGCGGGAAGACGGCCUUCGGGUUGGAAACCGAUUUCGCCUGUGACGAAGCGUGAGUGACGGUAAUGGGUAAAGAAGCACCGGCUAACUACGUG
rnacentral:rRNA from 1 species